rnacentral:misc_RNA from 1 species
AGCAGCCGCGGUAAUUCCAGCUCCAAUAGCGUAUAUUAAAGUUGCUGCAGUUAAAAGCUCGUAGUUGAAUUUCGGGAUCAAUAUGUUGGUCGUGCCUCGGUACGUACUAGCUUAUUGGUUUCUCCCUUCUGACGAACCAUGAUGUCAUUUAUUUGGUGUUAUGGGAAAUCAGGACUGUUACUUUGAAAAAUUAGAGUGUUUAAAGCAGGCUCACGCUUGAAUACAUUAGCAUGGAAUAAUGAAAUAGGACGUUUGAUUCUAUUUUGUUGGUUUCUAGGAUCGACGUAAUGAUUAAUAGGGAUAGUUGGGGGCAUUAGUAUUCAAUUGUCAGAGGUGAAAUUCUUGGAUUUAUUGAAGACUAACUACUGCGAAAGCAUUUGCCAAGGAUGUUUUCAUUAAUCAAGAACGAAAGUUAGGGAUCGAAGACGAUCAGAUACCGUCGUAGUCUUAACCAUAAACUAUGCCGACUAGGGAUCGGAUGAUGUUAAUUUUUUAAUGACUCAUUCGGCGUCCG